GUUGAAACACCGGUUCCCGUACGAUCUCCGAAGUUAAGCAACGUCGAGCCUGGUCAGUACCUAGAUGGGUUGUAAGUUUGGA